rnacentral:lncRNA from 1 species
AACCCUAGACCAGCUGCUACUCCCUCCUCCUCUCAUCUCUCAGCCGCCGCACAUCUCUCUCGUGCGUGCGGACUCUGUCCUAUCGAGGGUCUCGUCUGAGGGCACGGCACGGCCCUCUAGCGACAUUGCAGACCCAAGGCAUCGGCUCGCACCUCAGGCUGCGGUAGCAGCCCGAUCGGUAGGUUCCCCUCCCUCUUGAUGUGGACUUGAUUUCGAUCUCCAUGGUGUAGAUCCAGUGGAGGAGAAGAUCUACGGAUGAUGUGGCACCAUGGACCAAGGACUCCAUCUGCUGGUAGGUUCUUGCUUUGGAGAAUGAGGGAGGACGAGUAGGUCUAGAGAUUUGGCUUUGAUUAAACUAUUAAUAUCUAGUGCGGCCGUAUGGUCUUCUUGAUUCAGAAGCCCGAACAAGCUAUAGAAAUCCGGAUAGCAAACUGUGAAUUCUGGAUGGUUGAGUUUAGUUGCUACCUGGAUUAUGUUGUGUCACAAGUGGACAAAUGUAAAAUCUGGUUGUUCCUUCACGUUUGAAAUAUAGUUGCCUCAUGAUUUAUUGAGAUAAAUAAGGUGGAAUGCACAAACUUUAUCUGUAAGUUCAGUAGAACUGUAUACAUGUCCGUAGCUGAUUAACUGCUAUUAUCCUCUCUGUAUUGAAUCUAAUAUGCUGCUAAGUAUGCUAAUUUCUGUCAGCCACAUUACCUUAUUGUAACUUUCUGCAUUAUUUUGCAUUUCUUGUUGCAGUGCUUUGAGGUUGACAUCGGUUGAGAAGUACUUUUACAUACGAGGAAGUUGUUAUUAUUAGUUGUCUGCAAAUCUCAGUGUGUUUCUGUGAACUUAUGUUCAGUUUGCUGCCAUGAGCAUAUUUAUAUGAGCUCCGAACAUGUUUCUAUGAUAUUAAAAUGGGUUAAUGCAUUCUUGCUAGUGUGGGAAUCUCAAUUUUAAAGUUUUAAUCUGAACACCUAAUUUUAUGAGAUCAGUAGAUUAUUUAAUUCUCAUAUUAUUUCUGUUAAAGUUUUAAUCUGAACACCUAAUUAAAUCAUUCACUUAGCAUUUACUUGUACUUGAGAAGUGGACCAUUUGUAUGAUCGUUAAUGGCGUAAUGAAACUUAGCUGAUGCAAGUCUUCUAUACUUCUGUAGGUUUUCUUCAAACCCCGGAUGAACCUUACGAAGACGCGGAUAGGCUAAAUCAGUGGUGUGAAGAUUGAAUAUAUUAUAUAGAUUAGAGUAGAUUCUUACUGUUUUGAGGCAAAGUUGGUUUGUGCCAUUACUUGUGAUAUUCCUAAUUGUUGGUGCCAUUUUUGAACUUGAUAUAACAUGGAUUGAUUGUAUUAUACUUGUCAUUUGAAGAAUCUAGUCAUGUGUGCCUCGUGUAAUAUGAUCUCUUCAUUGAAUUGUAUUUCUUUGUCGC